AAUGUCUUGCGAAGUCGCGCCUAAGCCUUUUGUAUCUGACUCAUCAUCUCUCCGUCUCCAGGAGUGUCAGAGAAGAGCUCCCUUAAUCCCUCCUGUCCUCGGUCCCAGGCUUUCAUUUGUCAAACUAAAAAUAUUCCCUCCAGGAACCUCCUUUAGCCAGGGGCUGAAGGAGGUACAAGUGGAUGGUAUUUCAGCGUCACUUCCUGACAGCGCCUCCGUAUUGUUCCCUGGGCCAGAGGCAGCGGCAGGCAGCGAGGGGGCCUCUGUCAUGUUUGGGCCGCAGCCAGCAAGUCCACCUUCUCUCCUGUAAGCACCUUCCUUUUCCAUCUGGGGAGGGAAGCUGAGAUGGCCCAUCAGCUUGACAGGCAGCCUUGUCCCUGGUCCCUUGGGGCUGCCUCGUGAUUCGUGCCAGCCAGUGCCGGACGAAUACCUGCUGCAGGAAGCACACUGCCGACGCUUGACGACGAUGCUCCCAGAGCUGAGGAGGAACGGCAGUUUCUGCAAGAGGAGGGAGAAGACACCCACACGGCACACUGUGCAACCAGGGACCAUGAACUGAAGCAACUCCAUUUUCUGUGGUGGGCAGAGGUUAACCCAGGAUUUGGAGGAAAACAAGCUGAGUUUGAACGUGAGCCAGUGUGCGACUGUAGAAAUUCCCCUCUGUCCCCAAAUGCAUGUUUACAUGACUUCCAGUCUACUGGGGAGUCCUAUUGAUGCAGGUGUGCUUGCCACAUUGGGUGCUAGAGCAAGGUGAGUCCAGAGACAACCUCCGUUCUGGAAUUUGUGGUGGGUACAGCCUUCACUUCACUCCUAUUGGAGAGUUCCUGCUGGGGAGGCCUGUCAUGUCAUUUGUGUUCAAGUGACCCCAUUUCUCAGGUGUUUGAAUGACUUAAAUAAAGAUUAGCCAUCUGGGGUUGUGUAGAUAAUUUAGUGGUUAAGAGCACUUGCUGCUCUUCCAGAGGCUCCAGGUUCAAUUCCUAACAGCAUCCAGGAAACAAAUGAUUGUCUGUAACCUUAGUCCGAGAGGACCUGAUACCCUCUACUGGCCUAGCGGGGUACUGCAUACACAUGGUACACAAACAUACAUACGUGUAGGCAAAGCAUCUAGACACAUUAAAAAAAAAAGAGUAGUCUAACAGUUUUCAACAAAUGGUCUAAGAAUAAUUGGCUCCCUACAUCAGCAAGGAAUGUAAACAUGGAAUGUAUGCUCUCCACACGCGUUAACUACCAAAGGGCCAUAGAUUUCAUAAUGGAACACAAAGCUACAAAUUGUCUGAAUGAUAACAUAGAAGAAAAUCCUGCGACCUUGAUGAUUUUUCAAAUACAGCACAAAGGCAUUGUCUAUGAAAGUUAAGGGGUAAGCUGGUUUCCAUUAAAUGAGAAACUUGUGAUUUGUGAAAGACAAUGUCCAGAGGAGGAGAAGACAAGUCACAGAUGGCAUGGAAAUGUUUGCAAAAGCCACGUCAUGAGACCGUCAUCCAAAAUACACAGAGACCUCUUAAACUCAGCAGUAAGAAAACAAACAACCUGAUUCCAAAAAAUGGGCCAAAGACUUUAACAAACACCUCAGCAAAGAAGUGCACAGAUGGCUCACAGGGAUGGGAAAUGUUCUCCGUCAGCUGCUCUUAGGUAGGAAAUGCCAAUGAGUCUGGCAGUGAGCCACUACCACAUACCUGUUAGAAUGACCCACAUUCAGAACACUGACACCACCAAAUGGUAAUUAGGAGGUGGAGCAACAGGAAUGCCCAUCCACGACUGGUGGGGACACAAAGUGGCAGAAGCCACAUUGGACUAGAGCAUGGCUUUUUUGGGGGGCGGGGCAGGAAUCAAACAGAUUUGUCAGGGUUCUCUAUAGGGACAGAACUGAUAAAAGCGGGGGGAAAAGAAGCUAUUGAACCAGGCUAUGUCAAAAUAGUAACAACAGCUGUUUCACCCGUGAGGGGCUAAGAACCCAGUAGUUGCUAAGCCAGGUGCCUUAGCAGGCCCAGUGGGUGUUGAAGACCUAGAGGGUUCCUGGAGAGCCAAUGGUCCUCAGUCAACUAUGGAAGCCUGAAAACACUGGUUAAUAGCACCAAAGGAAGAUGCCCCAGGGUAAAUUAGGUAGGAAGCCAAAGGGAAGGUCAAGCGAGCAAAGGUGAAUACUUUUCCUUCUAUGAUCUUUUUUUGAGCUGGGCUACUAUCAGGAGAUGCCGCCACAUUUAGGAUGGGUAUUCUCACAUCAGUUAAGACAAUCAAACAAAUCCUCAAGUGAGGCUCCCUGCUCAGGUGAUUCUAAAUUGUGGUAAGUUGACCUGCAAAACCAACCAUGUGAUGCUUUUACCAUGUGAUCCAGAAAUCACAUUCUUUGGUAUUUACCAAAGGAGUUGAAGAUCUCUCUCUCUCUCUCUCUCUCUCUCUCUCUCUCUCUCUCUCUCUCUCUCUCUCUCGCGCGCGCGCGCGCGCGCGCGCUCUCUCUCUCUCUCACUGGCCACAACAAAAUGCCUGAGCACAGUUGUAAGACAUCAGCUUUAUUUUUGAUUUCUCAGACUUGGAAGUAACCAAAUUUCCUUCAGAAGGUGAGAAGAUAAAUAUACCAUAGCCUGGGCACCUGAAUAAAUUAUUUAGGACCUUCCAGAAAUGCACAGUGGAGAUAUGGUAAGUCAAGGAGUCACCUAAAACACAUAUUCCUGAGAUAAAAACAGAUUCUGAGUGAUUCUGGCCACAUGGCAUUCUGGGAAAAGCAAGACUGUAGAGAUCUCAAUAGUAAGGAAAUAAGUGAAUGGUAGGGUGGGCAGUGAGUGAAGGAGGAAGAGGUAUCAUAGAAAGGAUUUUUUGUUUGUUUGUUUUUUGA